rnacentral:rRNA from 1 species
UACAGGGGGGGCAAGCGUUGUUCGGAAUUACUGGGCGUAAAGGGUUCGUAGGUGCCACCUAAGUCAGACGUGAAAUCCCUCAGCUUAACUGGGGAACUGCGUCUGAUACUGGGUGGCUUGAGUGCAGGAGAGGAAUGCGGAAUUCCAGGUGUAGCGGUGAAAUGCGUAGAUAUCGUUUGGAACGCCAAAGGUGAAAACAGACAGCUGGGAGUGUGCUGACGCUGAGACACGAAAGCCAGGGGAGCGAACGGG